AUAUUCGCAUUGGGGCAACACUGACGAAGCAAUUGACAGCGUGGAUGAAGAAGACAUUCGGGUUGUAAAGAUCCUUUCGUGGAGGACGAAAAGGUGGGUUCUAAUACAAUCUGCUAUUGACGUGAAUCCAAGAGAAGCACCGGCUAACUCCGAUGCCAGCAGCCGCCGGUAAUACGGGGGGUGCAAGCGGUUAAUCGGGAUCACUGGGCGUAAGGGUGAGAUAGCGGUACGUUAGGUCUGUCGUGAAAUCCCCGGGCUCAACCUGGGAAUGGCGGUAGAAACCGGCGCACUAGAGUAUGGGAGAGGGUGUGAAUUCCAGGUGUAGCGGUGAAUGCGUAGAUAUCUGGAGGACAUCAGUGGCGAAGGCGGGCCACCUGGCCAAUACUGUCGCUGAGGCACGAAAGCGUGGGGAGCAACA
rnacentral:rRNA from 1 species